UAAUACGGAGGGUGCAAGCGUUAUCCGGAUUCACUGGGUUUAAAGGGUGCGUAGGCGGAUAGGUAAGUCCGUGGUGAAAUCUCCCGACUUAAUCGGGAAACUGCCAUGGAUACUAUCUAUCUUGAAUGCCGUGGAGGUUAGCGGAAUAUGUCAUGUAGCGGUGAAAUGCUUAGAUAUGACAUAGAACACCCAUUGCGAAGGCAGCUAACUACGCGGUGAUUGACGCUGAUGCACGAAAGCGUGGGGAUCAAACAGGAUUAGAUACCCUGGUAGUCCACGCCCUAAACGAUGAUUACUCGACAUUGGCGAUACACUGUCAGUGUCUGAGCGAAAGCAUUAAGUAAUCCACCUGGGAAGUACGAUCGCAAGAUUG
rnacentral:rRNA from 1 species